rnacentral:tRNA from 1 species
AUUUAAAUAGCUUAUAUAACAGAGCAUAGUAUUGAAGAUACUAAGGAAAUAAUUAUUAUUUUUAGAUA